GACGAACGCUGGCGGCGUGCCUAACACAUGCAAGUCGAACGGGGUGUUCCUUCGGGGACACUUAGUGGCGAACGGGUGAGUAACGCGUGAGGAACCUGCCUCUCAGUGGGGGACAACAGUUGGAAACGACUGCUAAUACCGCAUAACAUUUCUGGACCGCAUGAUCUGGAAAUCAAAGCUCUAUGUGCUGAGAGAUGGCCUCGCGUCUGAUUAGCUAGUUGGCGGGGUAACGGCCCACCAAGGCGACGAUCAGUAGCCGGUCUGAGAGGAUGAACGGCCACAUUGGGACUGAGAUACGGCCCAG
rnacentral:rRNA from 1 species